rnacentral:rRNA from 1 species
AUUGAACGCUGGCGGCAGGCUUAACACAUGCAAGUCGAGCGGAGACUUCGGUCUUAGCGGCGAACGGGUGAGUAAUACCUAGGAAUCUGCCCAUUAGCGGGGGACAACGUUUCGAAAGGAACGCUAAUACCGCAUACGCCCUACGGGGAAAGCAGGGGAUCUUUUGACCUUGCACUAAUGGAUGAGCCUAGGCCGGAUUAGCUAGUUGGUAGGGUAAAGGCCUACCAAGGCGACGAUCUGUAGCUGGUCUGAGAGGAUGACCAGCCACACUGGAACUGAGACACGGUCCAGACUCCUACGGGAGGCAGCAGUGGGGAAUAUUGGACAAUGGGCGCAAGCCUGAUCCAGCCAUGCCGCGUGUGAAGAAGGCC